rnacentral:lncRNA from 1 species
GGGGGCUUCCUGGUGAUGGUGGACGCUCUUAAGAGUAGCUACUACAUGAUUGGGGAACAGAAGUUUUCCAGCCUUUCCCUGGACCGGGAGGCUGUUCGAGAUGCCGUGGAAGAGGCUGGGUACACCAUCGAGCAGUUCGAGGAAGCCAUCUAAGCAUCCCGUGCCUCAGUUUCCUCACUCGCAAAAUGAGACUGAAGUAGAACUGUUUGUAAAGAUGAUGGGAGUGAAUUCCAAGCUAGAAAGAAUCCAGAGGGAUGUCUGAUACUCACCAGGCAUGCGACAGAUCAAUGCUGACGGCUAGAUCACCAUUGUUGUCACAACCAUCCUAACCCCAUCUUUUGCUAUCAGUUGCCAAAGCAGCUGAGAAGAGACAUUUCCAUCUCCAUGUAGGAGAUGAGCCCUUCACUGGGCUCUCCACUGGGGUGCUUGUCAAGAGCAGCCAUGAGAAAACAGUUCCCACACCAUGUGCCACCAGGUCCUCUCUGAUUCAUUGCUGGUAGUAAACAUGUAUAAC